CUUUAUUGGAGAGUUUGAUCUUGGCUCAGGACGAACGCUGGCGGCGUGCCUAAUACAUGCAAGUCGAGCGCGGGAAGCAAACUGAAAUCUUCGGAUGGACGUUUGUGGAACGAGCGGCGGACGGGUGAGUAACACGUGGGCAACCUACCUGUAAGACCGGGAUAACUCGCGGAAACGCGAGCUAAUACCGGAUAACACUUUUGGUCGCAUGAUGAGAAGUUGAAAGACGGCUUUGAGCUGUCACUUACAGAUGGGCCCGCGGCGCAUUAGUUAGUUGGUGAGGUAAGAGCUCACCAAGGCAACGAUGCGUAGCCGACCUGAGAGGGUGAACGGCCACACUGGGACUGAGACACGGCCCAGACUCCUACGGGAGGCAGCAGUAGGGAAUCAUCCGCAAUGGACGAAAGUCUGACGGUGCAACGCCGCGUGAGUGAAGAAG
rnacentral:rRNA from 1 species